rnacentral:misc_RNA from 1 species
GAUGAAGAACGUAGCGAAAUGCGAUAAGUAAUGUGAAUUGCAGAAUUCAGUGAAUCAUCGAAUCUUUGAACGCACAUUGCGCCCGCCAGUAUUCUGGCGGGCAUGCCUGUCUGAGCGUCAUUUCAACCCUCAUGCCCCUAGGGCGUGGUGUUGGGGAUCGGCCAAAGCCCGCGAGGGACGGCCGGCCCCUAAAUCUAGUGGCGGACCCGUCGUGGCCUCCUCUGCGAAGUAGUGAUAUUCCGCAUCGGAGAGCGAUCAGCCCCUGCCGUUAAACCCCCAACUUUCCAAGGUUGACCUCAGAUCAGGUAGGAAUACCCGCUGAACUUAAGCAUAUCAAUAAGCGGAGGA